UUCACUAUUAUUUUGUUUUCUUUAAUUAAAUUUGGCUUACCUGUGAGGGACUUAAUUAGUGUUUGCAGGUGCAUGUGGUUCUCCUUCAGGUGUGUGUUUUGUCUCUACAUUUAUCAUUCUCCUGUUUGGUUGUUUUACUUGUAAUUAAUGUUUGUAGUUUUUUUAAGGGGAUCUUGUUUAUGUACAUGUUCCAGAAGUACACCUGUCUCACAGUGAAGGACACCUUGGUGCUACAUGAAGUAUUUUGUGCACGUAACACACUGCCUUGUUCUGCUGUCAGAUUAUUAGCUUGUGAGUAUGGAAAGGGUCAAGAGGAAAUGGAAGAGGUUUAGAAGAGGAUUAAGAGGAAAUGGAAGAGGAUUAAGAGGUUUAGAAGAGGAUUAAGAGGAAAUGGAAGAGGAUUAAGAGGUUUAGAAGAGGAUUAAGAGGAAAUGGAAGAGGAUUAAGAGGUUUAGAAGAGGAUUAAGAGGAAAUGGAAGAGGAUUAAGAGGUUUAGAAGAGGAUUAAGAGGAAAUGGAAGAGGAUUAAGAGGUUUAGAAGAGGACUAACCCUUUCCAUAUGGUGCCGACGUCGGCGUCACCGGAGUGAAGGGGUUAAACACCAUAAUAAGAUCAUCUUAGAUCACUCUGCCUUUGAUCGAUUAGAGACUCGGUUGCGCGAGACGAACCCUAUAAGGUACGGUACGUCACAGAACCCAAUAAUUUUCUUAGUCCACCUUCUCUGAACAGCUUCUAGUAGUCUAACAUCACCCAAAUACGUAUCCAGUAAACCACACCACAGAAGCGUAGUCCAGGAUUGGCCUAAUAUGCGAAAUAAAAAGUCAGGUCAGAUAUAAUGUAUAGUCAGAGUCAGCUUUGAAGUCCAUUUCGGGCGUGGGACAGCAUGUGGGUAGUCGUAGGCCACUUGGCGGGGACUGAAAUAUCCCGGCUUUUGACACCUGGCAGGACGCAAACCCAAGUACACAUGGACGCUGUGCUGGCAUGCCGACCAGUCAGCCACCACCUCCCCGCGGAGAUUACUAUUAUUAUUAUCAUUAUUAUUAUCGUGAUUAUUAUGAUUAUUAUUAUUAUCUUUACUAUGAUUAUUGCUAUUAUUGUUAUUUCUAUUUUCCUUUUUAUUUUCGAUCAUACUACUUUGUUCAUUUGUCUCAUUCAUUUCAUUUCAUCUUCCAUUGAUGUAUAUUUUCAGCUCUAGGGCUGCCUGGUACUUCAUGAAAUAAACCGUUUAUUAUUAUUA